rnacentral:rRNA from 1 species
UUGACCUCGAAUCAGGUAGGAAUACCCGCUGAACUUAAGCAUAUCAAUAAGCGGAGGAAAAGAAACCAACCGGGAUUACCUCAGUAACGGCGAGUGAAGCGGUAACAGCUCAAAUUUGAAAUCUGGCUCCUCUGGAGUCCGAGUUGUAAUUUGUAGAAGAUGCUUUGGGUUGUGGGUUCGGCCUAAGUUCCUUGGAACAGGACGUCAUAGAGGGUGAGAAUCCCGUAUGUGGCCGAGGCCCGCGCCUAUGUAAAGCUCUUUCAACGAGUCGAGUUGUUUGGGAAUGCAGCUCAAA